UGACGGGGUUGCGGGGGGUCAAGGGGAAUUGGAAGAGCCGGACCCCGUGCGUGACGUCAUUGAAGAGUUCGCCCGGUGCCUGCAGGAUAUUAUAAGCGCGGCGCAGUAUACGCAACAGGAGGAGGGCCUGGCGUGACGUUAACAUUUAUUAUACCGCCGGCUCGUGCGGUUAUUGUAAAUUAAUAAGCAGUGAUAAUAUAUUAGAGAAAAUAAAUAUAAUUGAACAUUUGUUGUUCGAGUCGUUUAGUCGAAGGCUAAACGUUGUUGAUUUUCACUCUUGUUGUGAUAUUUUAUAUUGUUGAUGUAUAACUCUUGUAAAGACAAUAUUAUUUAAUAAAGACUGUUGACAUUAAUUCAGAAUUAUAGAUGAAGUUCUUUGCAAAUGGAAUUUAUCAUAAAUAAUGCUUAAGUGCUAAUUAGGAAUUGUAUAGUUUCAUAUCGAAUUGUAUAUAUUAGAGAAUAUUUAACUAGUCAUAAGCUUAACGUUGAAGGGAAUGUGUAUAUAGUAAUAUAAUAAAUGCAAUAUGAUUUUUA